AUUGAACGCUGGCGGCAUGCUUUACACAUGCAAGUCGAACGGCAGCACAGGGAGCUUGCUCCUGGGUGGCGAGUGGCGAACGGGUGAGUAAUGUAUCGGAACGUGCCUGGUAGUGGGGGAUAACUACUCGAAAGAGUGGCUAAUACCGCAUGAGAUCUUUGGAUGAAAGCGGGGGACCUUCGGGCCUCGUGCUACUGGAGCGGCCGAUAUCAGAUUAGGUUGUUGGUGGGGUAAAGGCCUACCAAGCCUGCGAUCUGUAGCUGGUCUGAGAGGACGACCAGCCACACUGGGACUGAGACACGGCCCAGACUCCUACGGGAGGCAGCAGCGGGGAAUUUUGGACAAUGGGCGCAAGCCUGAUCCAGCAAUGCCGCGUGCAGGACGAAGGCCUUCGGGUUGUAAACUGCUUUUGUACAGAACGAAAAGUCUCUGGCUAAUAUCUAGAGAUCAUGACGGUACUGUAAGAAUAAGCACCGGCUAACUACGUG
rnacentral:rRNA from 1 species